rnacentral:rRNA from 1 species
AUUGAACGCUGGCGGCAGGCCUAACACAUGCAAGUCGAGCGGUUGACGGGAGCUUGCUCCCUGAUUCAGCGGCGGACGGGUGAGUAAUGCCUAGGAAUCUGCCUAUUAGUGGGGGACAACGUUUCGAAAGGAACGCUAAUACCGCAUACGUCCUACGGGAGAAAGCAGGGGACCUUCGGGCCUUGCGCUAAUAGAUGAGCCUAGGUCGGAUUAGCUUGUUGGUGAGGUAAUGGCUCACCAAGGCGACGAUCCGUAACUGGUCUGAGAGGAUGAUCAGUCACACUGGAACUGAGACACGGUCCAGACUCCUACGGGAGGCAGCAAUGGGGAAUAUUGGACAAUGGGCGAAAGCCUGAUCCAGCCAUGCCGCGUGUGUGAAGAAGGUCUUCGGAUUGUAAAGCACUUUAAGUUGGGAGGAAGGGUAGUAGAUUAAUACUCUGCAAUUUUGACGUUACCGACAGAAUAAGCACCGGCUAACUCUGUGCCAGCCGCCGCCGUAA